UCUGAAUCUGCGAACGGCUCCGCAAACCAGUUGUAAACUAUAGCAAGCUCUCUCACGGUCGCCCCUUCACGGGGGGGAUCUGGGGAAAUAGGGAUAACCCUGGUAAUUCUGAGGCUAAUACCACCACGUAAAACCUGGCUGACUGGGCAACUAGAAGGUCGGGGGGCGUGCGAAUAUUUCGCGAGGUUUACCGGGAAAGGACGCACGUCUCGACCGCGCAAAACGGAUGACCAGGCCUCCGGGCCAGGGCUUCUAGCGGCUCUUGCUGUGUGCUUCUGACCUAUCAACUAGAUGGCAGCGUAAGGGACAUGCUAUGGU
rnacentral:rRNA from 1 species